AAAAAUAACUCAAAGGACAGGAAGGUCUUCCCUGAAGUAGUCGUUUGGUUUUUUUGCAAUGUUUCGAUCCCUCGCUGGAGUCUUUGUUCACAUUUGUUGCUCAUUGCUGUGAUGCAUCUGUCAAAUAAUGGAAAGCGAAGCAAACGCUUACUUAAUCAGCAGAAAAUGUCUCCUGCCCCUUCUCCCCUCUUCCAAGCCACCACCUCCACCUCUCUCUGCUCGGCUUUUCCAUCCCGAGCAUUCGCUUGCUUCUCUCUUGUGAGGUGUUUAAAAAAAAAAAAGGCUGUUUAGCUUGAGAGCGAGCAGCGGCCCUCGUGCCAUCUUUGAAGCCUCCAAGAAAAUGAAAAAAAAAUAUGGUGGAGGAGUUUGAGAACAGGAGAAAAUAACAUGAAAAGUCAGUUGCUCGACGCAUUUGCUUUUCCAAAGUGGUGAAAAAGCAGGCGUAACCCCGCCUCCCGCUUUUGCUUUCAAACUUCUCGUUACCUUCUGUUCUUUGACUGCCAUUUCUGGUUUCGUGCAGACUAAUUGAUAUCAGGACUUCUUCCUCGCUGCAGUCGCUGCUUCUCCUAAUGAACCGAAUCAAAGUGUUCGCCUUGCGUUGUUAGGCACUCGAUACACACAUCUGAUGAACUUACGUAACCGCGCGAAGACUUUUAGCAGGCGUGCGGGGGCGACCAGACCAUGUGAUGGAGCGUACAUGUAUUUUGCAUGUGCAGUUCUCUGCCACAAGGGACGUGUGUACUUGAAGAAAAUGUGGUGCUUUGCCGCUAUAACUGUCGCUUUCCUCUCCACCGGGAGGACUUGCGACAAGAUUCCGGAAUCUUGUCGGCCGAUUCAUCCAGAAGUGAAGGACAUUUGCACGGUCAGGGUUCACCGAUAUACAAGAGCAUCACAUCCCCAAGGUGUCAUGUCAGGAUGCUCAAGCCAGGCCCGGAGUGACUCAUCUAGACGUUUGGGCAAAUUCCCGACGGGCAAUAUGCUGCUGUAUAUUCUGCUUUGGGCUGUUACUUCUGCCCACACCUUAGUUUCCUUAAAGCUGCGCAUCCGUCUUUUAGCACAACCACAAUGCUUGAAUCCAAAUAUCACUUUCUCGUACGGUGAAUUAAUAACAAACAGAGGCAGGCCAUUUUAUUACAUGUAGCUCUGACUGCAUCAAGGGGGUCCCCAAGUUGCAAUAAUUUUAUACCAAAAGUAGCACUGACUGAAAACGACGACACUGGAACUAUAUUACAUCCCCGUCUGUACAAAAUAACAUAUUAAAGAGGAAUAACGGUCACAAGUGUUUCUUGUCAUGGCAACGACGCUUGAUGGGGAAACCCUCCUCCGAUGACGGAAGCUGUGUGCCGAUUGUAGAGUUAGCAUCGGUGCGCUAAGUACUGCACCGGAAAUGGGGAGAAGAGGUUUCAAUAUAACAGCGCUAACAGGAAGUGGAGUGUUAGCGGGUCGUUAAUGGGCCGAGCCCUGCGACUCUAGUGCUGAAAAUGAGUCCCGCUUCUGCCUUGUCUAAGGGACUUGCAUAUCAAAUGCAUUCAAACAUGUCUUUAUAGAUAGCAAUAAAGAUGAACACACAUGCUAACGUUAGCUUACGCCCUUGCUCUGCCAAUUACAAUGGAGAAAUGGCUGCUCCCGUGACCUAAUUACGGUGUUUGUUUUGAGUAAACCAAUUGUGUGAGGUCAUGAUUGUCGCGUUCUCAAUGACAUCAUUUUUGUAGUUUUCAAGUUGUUUUCAACCACUGCCACAGUCAAGCGCGUUGUUAAAUACACCUCAGUGGCAACAGGAGAGGAGCGAGAGUGAGACGGUGAAGAGCGAGUGCCGAGACAGCAGCAAGGUGUGAGGAGACGACUCCGUAUGAGGUCUCUUCUUAAUGAGGAGAUUUGUUUAAGCCGUUAAAACUACAAGCAGACUGAACACAAAGAAGGCUUUUCUUUGCGGCAUACUUUUCUACUUUCUACUGCUUUUUUUUGGGGCGGGGGGUUGUUUUGUUUCUUUUGCCCUAGCUAGAUUGCAACCCACAUCCCACUUAUGGCUUUUACAUUUGCUCUUCUGUGUAAUGACAGAAUUGCUUCAAGAAUUAUUUUUAUUGGGGUAAAAGGAAAGAAAGGAAGAGAGACCGGAACAAAGAUCCAUCAUCAGGCAGCACUAGGCAAGCACACUGGGUUAAUACCUGCAACUAGUUGCCGAAAAUAAACAUUUGCUUUAAAAAAAAAAUCAUGCAACUUAAAUAUGGAAGCAACGAGACAAAUCUUUGGACUUUUUUUUUUUUAGAAUAUUGAUGAAUCUUUUCGUCAUUUAAAUUUUGGCCUUUAUCGCAAUGUGCUUUUUAAAUGCAGCAAUUUUAGCACUUUGCUCCUCAUAUAUUAAAGAGCUUGCAAGACCAUCCAUCCAUUCCAUUCUCUCUCUCUCUCUCUCUCUCUCUCUCUCUCUCUCUCUCUCUCUCUCUCUCUCUCUCUCUCUCUCUCUCUCUCUCUCUCUCUUGUUCCCUUUAACUGCGUCGCCCACUUCUCACCCAGACCGAGCUUGGAUAGGCUCCAGCUCACCUGCAUCCCUGAAGAGAACAGGAUUAAAGAUGGAUGGAUAGUGAAGCGGUUCACUCGUUUUACUUCUGCGCGUUCCCCACUGACUGGCAAAGAUAAACUAUCGAGAAAACGGAUGAACAAGCGCAGACUAUGACCUUUAUGUCUUAAGGCACAAACCACAAAGUCAAUUACCAAGACUGCCAGAUUUACGCUCGGUGUCUUUUGUUGUGACUGAGGAGGCCAGCCUACUUUUACACCAUUUUGUUGUUUUGCCAUAAUUCCCCUCUCUGACACGUGCCGUGUUCUCACACCCAUGUAACUCCAGUGGCCUAGUUAGCAAAUGGAUGCUGCGGCUCCUGUUAAAAACACAGGCGAGGUCCCCCUUUGGGAGAGCGUGAGGCAAGAAGGAAUAUAUCUGAUAACAGGAGAUAUAUGUGACAUGGAGGAGGGCGAUUAGGCUUUAUAAACAGUGCCAGGGGUCUUGAGUUUACGACUGUCCUGGCAUUUCAAGGUUACGAACGGGAUCCCACAACAAAUGAAGCCACGCCUAAGACAAUAUCAGACUUAUUGUUCUCCAUUGGAUUUGAAGUGAUUGUUGAAAUUUCCAAAACACUCAUGUUAGAUUUACAGAAAGCUCGUAAUAGUCCACAGGUGUUCAUAUGGGAGUGAAUGGUUGUUUGACAUAUUCCAAUGGCUCUCGCUCACACCUCACUCUCAAACGUAAGCAUGGCCGUAUUUGACACACUAUAAGGCGCACUUUCAGUAAACGGCCUAUUUUAAAACAGUUUUCACUUAUAGGGAGCACGGCAUUUUACGGCUCAUAGACGCUACAAUAGUGGCUGGUUGCGUUAUGCAUCCACUAGAUAGAGCUAUGCUAAAGGAAUACAAUACUGUACCGCAUUGGCCCGAAUAUAAGACGGUGUUUUUUUCUGCAUUGAAAUAAGACUGAAAAAGUGGGAAAGUCUUAUAUUUGGGGUCUAGACAAUAUACCCAUUCACGACGCUAGAUGGCGCCAGAUAUCAUUGAAGCGAAUGCUGAACGUGACUCCCCACGCCACAGUGAACCCCUGUCAUGAAGAAUAAAAAUAAAAAUAGCGAUAGCACGAAGAAUAAAAAAAAAAUAUCGGUGAGAAGAAAAUAAUAAAAGACAUAACAGAAAAUGGAGAAAUGUAGCGACAAUCUGGAGAAAAGUGAGUCGAAGAUCGGUCAGGUUAACCGGCAGCUGAGGAGAAGUUAUGAUGUCAUUUACAUUUCAAAAACCAGAAGCCAUUCAUUUACGAAUGUGAUUGCACUUUAGAUUUGAAUGAGGCAAAAUAACAUGCUUUUUCUCUCAAAUAUAUUGUUUAAAUCAUUUGUUUCAGAUGUACUUUCAUUAUUUUCUGUAUAAAAACUAAUUUGGUGUUCAAUAAGUCUUUUCUCAAACUUGAGUCUUGAAAAAGAGGGAGUCGUCUUAUAAUCAGGGCAGUCUUAUAUUUGGGCCAAUACACUAUU